CCAAGGUGAGUAAAAAUGAACUGAAGCAUAUUUUUUAAAGGGUAACAAUAUUCUUUUAUCCUACACAGCUUCUUCAUUGCUUAUGAAUCACAAAUUUUGUUUUGAACAUUUUACCAACAUUUAUAUCCUAUUUCUGUCUCUUCAUGAAAGAAAAAGUACAAACUUAACUGUAAUUAGAAAUGAAGUACUCAAACAUACCAAUGUAAGUAGUAAGAGUUACUUUGUCUAGCAGAGAAUGUUUAAAUGGGUGUUUCCUAUUUUUUUCAGUUUGGAAAGAUGUUUUAUCAAUCUUGAUUUGUCAUUCACAUACAGUGCAAGACUUUUUCCUCACUUGAUUUUGGAGCUCCUUGUAAAAGUUAAAGGCAGAAAGAGGCUGCUGAGUUGUGCCCUCCUCCGUCUCUCCAAUGGAAUAACUGGUAUAGGAAACUGAUGUGACCCUGACAGCUGGGCAAAGGAAGAAAAAGUUUAAUUCCAAGAAGCUCAAGCUGGUGAAAUUUUAAAAGAAUAAGCUGAAUUGGAACCAGAGAACACUGGCUAAUUUUUGCCUAUUGUGAAAUAACAGUAUAAAAAUAGCAACAGUAAAAGUGAUUAUAAUAUCUAACACUUAAUGAACUGUUACUACUUGAGAGGUACCAUGUUAAGGGUUGUGUAACUGGGUCAUUUAAUCCUUAUGGAGACCCUAUAAAGUAAGAGCAAUUGUAAUCUCCAUUCUAUAGACAAGGAAAAAGAGAUUUGGAGAAAUCUAAGUAACUCUCCAAGAUCACACUGUUUGUGGCAGAUUAAAGAUGGAGGCAAAUUCCUUUCAUUCCUCCCACUGAGAACUGAGUCUCUGAAUGUGUACGGAUUCUGUGCUUUGUUCAGUAGAUCCCAGUAGAAGUGAAAUUGUGCCAAUUUUUGAAGUAGGGCUCUCAUUUCUGUCUCUUAGAAAACUCUCCCCCAGGAAAGCCAGCCACCAUGUAGGAAAACCAACUACCUCAAAACCAUUAUGCUGUGAGGAAGCCCAAGCUAGAUGAGUAAAAAGGCCACACUUAGUGCAAGAUGCUCAAUCAUCCUUCAGCUGUCCCAGUCCAAUCACCUCAAGCAGACAUGUGAGGGAAUGUGAUGGUUAAUUUUAUGUAUCGAUUUGACUGGGCUAAAGGAUGACCAAAUAGCUGAUAAAACAUUAUUUCUCAAUGUGUCUGUGAGAAUGUCUCUGAAAUAGAUUAACACUGGAAUCAGCAGACUGAGUAAUGAAGGUCCCCUCACUAAUUUGAGUGGACAACUUCCAAUCCAUUCAGGGCUUGAGUAAAGCCAAAAGGCAGAGGAAAGGUGAAUUCUGUGUUUGUUCCUGCUUCUCAGCCUUUCAGACUCACACUGCAAGUUAUCCUCAUCAUAUCCCUGAUUUUCACAGACUCUGACUGAAUUUCAACACUGGCUUUUCCAGUUCUCCA
rnacentral:lncRNA from 12 species